rnacentral:rRNA from 1 species
AACUAGCAUAUCAAUAAGCGGAGGAAAAGAAACCAACAGGGAUUGCCUCAGUAACGGCGAGUGAAGCGGCAAGAGCUCAAAUUUGAAAGCUGGCCCCCUCGGGGUCCGCAUUGUAAUUUGCAGAGGAUGCUUCGGGAGUGGCCCCCAUCUAAGUGCCCUGGAACGGGCCGUCAUAGAGGGUGAGAAUCCCGUCUGGGAUGGGGUGUCCACGCCCGUGUGAAGCUCCUUCGACGAGUCGAGUUGUUUGGGAAUGCAGCUCUAAAUGGGUGGUAAAUUUCAUCUAAAGCUAAAUACUGGCCGGAGACCGAUAGCGCACAAGUAGAGUGAUCGAAAGAUGAAAAGCACUUUGAAAAGAGAGUUAAACAGCACGUGAAAUUGUUGAAAGGGAAGCGCUUGCGACCAGACUCGCCCACGGGGUUCAGCCGGCAUUCGUGCCGGUGUACUUCCCCGCGGGCGGGCCAGCGUCGGUUUGGGCGGCCGGUCAAAGGCCCUUGGAAUGUAACGCCCCCCGGGGCGUCUUAUAGCCAAGGGUGCCAUGCGGCCAGCCCGGACCGAGGAACGCGCUUCGGCUCGGACGCUGGCAUAAUGGUCGUAAGCGACCCGUCUUGAAACACGGACCAAGGAGUCUAACAUCUACGCGAGUGUUCGGGUGUCAAACCCGUGCGCGCAGUGAAAGCGAACGGAGGUGGGAACCCCUCGGGGCGCACCAUCGACCGAUCCUGAAGUCUUCGGAUGGAUUUGAGUAAGAGCGUAGCUGUUGGGACCCGAAAGAUGGUGAACUAUGCCUGAAUAGGGCGAAGCCAGAGGAAACUCUGGUGGAGGCUCGCAGCGGUUCUGACGUGCAAAUCGAUCGUCAAAUUUGGGUAUAGGGGCGAAAGACUAAUCGAACCAUCUAGUAGCUGGUUCCUGCCGA